rnacentral:tRNA from 1 species
CGGGCUAUAGCGCAGUUGGUAGCGCGCUUCGUUCGGGACGAAGAGGCCGAGGGUUCGAGUCCCUCUAGCCCGACCA